CCACGGGCGGCAGCAGUGGGGAAUAUUGGACAAUGGGCGAAAGCCUGAACCAGCCAUGCCGCGUGUGUGAAGAAGGCCUUCGGGUUGUAAAGCACUUUCAGUGGGGAAGAAAGCCUUGGGGCUAAUACCCUCGAGGAAGGACAUCACCCACAGAAGAAGCACCGGCUAACUCCGUGCCAGCAGCCGCGGUAAUACGGAGGGUGCGAGCGUUAAUCGGAAUUACUGGGCGUAAAGCGCGCGUAGGCGGUCUGAUAAGCCGGUUGUGAAAGCCCCGGGCUCAACCUGGGAACGGCAUCCGGAACUGUCAGGCUAGAGUGCAGGAGAGGAAGGUAGAAUUCCCGGUGUAGCGGUGAAAUGCGUAGAGAUCGGGAGGAAUACCAGUGGCGAAGGCGGCCUUCUGGACUGACACUGACGCUGAGGUGCGAAAGCGUGGGUAGCAAACAGGAUUAGAUACCCCGGUAGUC
rnacentral:rRNA from 1 species